CCUACGGGGGGCAGCAGUGGGGGAUAUUGGACAAUGGGGGGAACCCUUAUCCAGCGACGCCGCGUGAGUGAAGAAGUAUUUCGGUAUGUAAAGCUCUGUCAUCAGGGAAGAAAGAAAUGACGGUACCUGACGAAGAAGCCCCGGCUAACUACGUGCCAGCAGCCGCGGUAAUACGUAGGGGGCAAGCGUUAUUCGGAAUUACUGGGCGUAAAGGGGGCGUAGGCGGUUAAGUAAGUAGGGAGUGAAAGGCCUGGGCCCAACCCCGGGGCUGCUCUGGAAACUUUUGAACUUGAGUGCAGGAGAGGUAAGCGGAAGUCCUAGUGGAGCGGUGGAAUGCGUAGAUAUUAGGAGGAACACCAGUGGCGAAGGCGACUUUCUGGACUGUAACUGACGUUGAGGCUCGAAAGUGUGGGGAGCAAACAGGAUUAGAUACCCCUGUAGUC
rnacentral:rRNA from 1 species